GGGAUAUAGCUCAGUGGUAUAGCACCUGCCUGGCAAGCGUGAGGUCCUGAGUUCAAUUCUUGGUCCCA
rnacentral:tRNA from 1 species